rnacentral:rRNA from 1 species
ACUCCUACGGGAGGCAGCAGUAGGGAAUCUUCCCGCAAUGGGCGAAAGCCUGACGGAGCAACGCCGCGUGAGGUGAUGAAGGUCUUCGGAUCGUAAACUCUGUUAUUAGGGAAGAACAAAUGUGUAAGUAACUAUGCACCGUCUUGACGGUACCUAAUCAGAAAGCCACGGCUAACUACGUGCCAGCCAGCCGCGGUAAUACGUAGGUGGCAAGCGUUUAUCCGGAAUUAUUGGGCGUAAAGCGCGCGUAGGCGGUUUUUAAGUCUGAUGUGAAAGCCCACGGCUCAACCGUGGAGGGUCAUUGGAAACUGGAAAACUUGAGUGCAGAAGAGGAAAGUGGAAUUCCAUGUGUAGCGGUGAAAUGCGCAGAGAUAUGGA